AGUCUCUCGUGAUGCAUGGCACUCUCCAGCAAUUCCCGCUUUCUUGGGUUCCUGACACACUGACUUGUUCCAUUUCAUGCCUCUGUGAUGCCCAUGCUUAUGCUGUAUGUCUGCCUCUCUCGCUGGUUUUUUGGAUGACUGCCUGUCUAUGGAUUUUCUCUGUUGUGCUGAUUGUGUUCUGCCCCUGGUUCCUCUGUAUAUUUGUGGAUUGCUCCAGCUUCCCCUGGCCAAGGCGUCCGUCAUCUCACAUACCUGGUCACCCCUGGACACUCCUAGAUGUUCCUAGCUGACAGGAGUGCCACCCGGUGUGGUCUUCUGCAUCAAGGUUUGAUGUGUUGUGCAUUCAGAGAUGCUCUUCCGCAUACCUUGGUUGUAAUGACUGGUAAUUCUGCAUGCUUGUCCAACCAAUGAGAGGCAUGAACAAUGAAAUGUGAUGCAAGCAAUCACAGUUGUUUGUGUCACUGAUGUGCAGUUACAUUUCUGGAGAGGUGCACGUCAGUCAAUUGCGUAAGCUACAGUGUAGAAUAAAGGCUGCAUGUUAACCAAUGCUAGAUUUAACACAGCACCAUAAAUCAAGUUUAAGAUCAUCCUUUUUUCCCCAUUCAGAUGCUUGGUUUAAACUUCAGCAGACUGUCUUGACCCUGUCUACAUGCCUAAAUGCACUAAGUUGCUGCCAUAUGAUUGGCUGAGUACAUAUUUGCAGUUGAAUAAGUAUACCUAAUAAAGUGGCUGCUGAGUGUAUGUGCAAAUAAUUUCCAGAAGUUAAAGCAGACUGACAGCUGAGCUGAUGUCACCAGGAGCUGAUGCUACUUAUCAUGAUGGUUCAAAGGAAAAGCAUAGUGUCCACAGGGCCAGGAAACAUCUCGGAGAAGACUUUUGAGGAAAUAAUUGACUAACCUUGAUUUCCAGGCAGUGAAGCGCAGAUACAUUCACUGAUCCAUCCUAAACAGGCCUGCCUGUUGCAGCUAAAGACUUUGUAUGCGAAUGCAAACUUCCCCCUCAAGCAGGCUAAGGCUGUGUUCAGACUGAGUUUCAAAGGUGUGGAAAAAUGCAGCCCUCUCCAUGCAUUCAUAUGGGGGAUUGCAUUCACUGCAAACGGCACCAGCACUGCAGGGGUCUCUGGUAAAAUGAUGCAACCCCAUGUGGUGAGAAAGUUGGAUCUGAUUCAACUUUUGCCGCACUGGUCAGUGACAUCAUCUGGUAAAGGUGUUGCGUUGACCAAUCACGUACGGGGGAAAGAGGGAAACCUCAACACCCACAGAUUGAUCGUGUUUCCCUUUUACCAGCCUGCCACCCACUCGUCUACACCAGGCAGAUCCCCCCGGUUAGUCCAGACUCUCCUUCAUCAACCACCUCACCAUCCUGCCCAACAUCAUCGGCCCAAACGGCACCAGCGCAGCUGCUUCCCUAUGGUGCAACUGGCCCCUCUCCUGAACAGUGCCUCCAACUAGAGCUCCCUGCACCCAUCUUCCAAGCAUCCCAUCAGAGCUACCUGCUUGCUUCAACCCUAUUUGGAUCAGUACCUGCCAAGAGAGAAUCACUAUUGUGACUGUCUUGUUCUCGCCAUUUCCUGAACUUCUGUGUACAAUAAACUUCUUAAAAACAUUUCCGAGUUCAAGUCCGGCAUUUGAGUCCAGAACUUGAAUUCGGACCUAUUGGUCUUAACAGUACCAUUUUGUGCAUUUUACAUAUGAUUCCCUUUUCCCUUUUUGUGCAUACAGUAGCUAAACAAGCUUAUUUAGAACUGGCAGUUUCAUGUCAUCUUUUUUUUUUUCUCAGUAAAUA